UGGGGAAUAUUGCACAAUGGGCGCAAGCCUGAUGCAGCAACGCCGCGUGAGGGAUGACGGCCUUCGGGUUGUAAACCUCUUUUAGUAGGGAAGAAGCGAAAGUGACGGUACCUGCAGAAAAAGCACCGGCUAACUACGUGCCAGCAGCCGCGGUAAUACGUAGGGUGCGAGCGUUGUCCGGAAUUAUUGGGCGUAAAGAGCUCGUAGGCGGUCUGUCGCGUCUGCUGUGAAAACCCCGAGGCUCAACCUCGGGCCUGCAGUGGGUACGGGCAGACUAGAGUGCGGUAGGGGAGAAUGGAAUUCCUGGUGUAGCGGUGGAAUGCGCAGAUAUCAGGAGGAACACCGAUGGCGAAGGCAGUUCUCUGGGCCGUAACUGACGCUGAGGAGCGAAAGCGUGGGGAGCGAACAGGAUUAGAUACCCU
rnacentral:rRNA from 1 species